UCUCUUGAGAGCCAUAUGGAGGAGUUCAUUAAUAAAUUCUCCAUGUGGUCUCAAUAGACC
rnacentral:pre_miRNA from 1 species